rnacentral:rRNA from 1 species
AUUGAACGCUGGCGGCAUGCUUUACACAUGCAAGUCGAACGGUAACAGGCCGCAAGGUGCUGACGAGUGGCGAACGGGUGAGUAAUGCAUCGGAACGUGCCCAGUCGUGGGGGAUAACUACUCGAAAGAGUAGCUAAUACCGCAUACGAUCUAUGGAUGAAAGCGGGGGACCGUAAGGCCUCGCGCGAUUGGAGCGGCCGAUGUCAGAUUAGGUAGUUGGUGGGGUAAAGGCUCACCAAGCCAACGAUCUGUAGCUGGUCUGAGAGGACGACCAGCCACACUGGGACUGAGACACGGCCCAGACUCCUACGGGAGGCAGCAGUGGGGAAUUUUGGACGAUGGGCGCAAGCCUGAUCCAGCAAUGCCGCGUGCAGGAAGAAGGCCUUCGGGUUGUAAACUGCUUUUGUACGGAACGAAACGGCUCUGGUUAAUACCCGGGGCUAAUGACGGUACCGUAAGAAUAAGCACCGGCUAACUACGUG